ACAAUCAUACAAACCCAGGCCUGUAUAACCUAGAAAAUACAUCUGUAACCUACGUAACCUAUGUAUGCUCUUCUGUUUUACCGGACAACAAUCAUACAAACCCAGGCCUGUAGCCAGGGGGUGACUGGAAGGUUCACUCCAUUCUCAAAUAGAGAAUGGUCCUCAUAAUAAACUUAUCCCUCCCAAUGAAAAUUCUGGUACAAACUCUACAGUUAGAAUAAAGUUAUCUUUUAUUGUGUGCAUGUGUAUGUGUAUACGGAUCUGCUUUUUUAAACACCUGUUCUAUGUAAAUCAACCAACGAAAUAUGCCAGAAAAUGUAGUUAACUAGUUUACUGUUGUUUAUUAGUCUGUUUUAGGACAGAAAAUAUGUUGUCAAUCAAUCAUAGGUCAUUUAUAUUAUUUAUUUAUUUAUUUAUUUAUUUAUUUAUUUAUUUAUUUAUUUAUUUAUUUAUUUAUUAAUGAAGCAACUUAAUUAACAUGAAACAUUUAAAAAGUGUAUAAAUAAAAACGAAAGUAGAGUACUUGAGUAAUUAUGAAGAUUCAAAUUAGAAUCCAUAAUGUUAUGUAUAGCAUAAAAAAUUACAACAAAAGUUCUAACCACAUGUCAUGUAAAUUCAAUGAGCUGUGAACCUUUGCAGCAGGUGUAUAUGUUGACUUUUAUGCUUGCAAUGACGUGCAACGACAUUCUGCACCCGAUGUUUGCAGAUACGAGCAAUAUAUAUAUUAAAAUGUGAUGAAUGAGUAAACGCAGCGGCGGUAAUCGCGGGCUCAAAAUCGAGGGUUUAUGAAGAAGAGAUAGAUGUUAUGUUUGUUAGUUUAAGGAAUUGAAAGCAAUUAGAAAUCUUGAACCUACAACCUUCAUUGGUCUUGGUCCUGGUUCAAAGGGAAAGUUAUAUACGGAGUAUCUACAGGGUUUUUCAAAGGUAUAUUGCUAUUUAGUGACCAACAGUAAUUUGAUGAGGAAGUCACGUAUUGUGUUACUGAAUGAAACGGAAAAAUGAAGAGAAAGAAGGAAAGCCCUUUUUUAAGAUUGCUGUGUUAGCUAACAGUAUUUAAAAUGACAGUUAAAGCAGUGAUAUAUUCGUCAGUAUUUUUAUCAUAGAAUGUGUUAUGUAUGAAUGGCUGAUUAUAUUAUUGCGUUGGUGACACUUAUUCUUCAAGUUAUCUAUAAAAUGUAAUGAGGACAUUGAUCUUUACAUUUAUUUAUUUAUUUAUUUAUUUAGGAAAUCUACAUAUGUGUAUGGUUAUUGUGUGUUAUGUUAUUCGUAAAGUAGGACGCUCACCUGUAAAUAGAUGGAUGAUAAAUUUCCAUACCCAAAUUAUUAAAGCACUUUUAUAGUUACUUGGACAUGGAAACUG